AUACUUAUCUGGCAGGGAAGAUACCAUCAUCAGGAAGGUAGUAUUUUCUUGGUGAGGGUCCUUGACUCCAGAAGUACUGACCUCUGCAAUUUUCCCAAAAGUGGGAAACUCAACUGCGUUACUUGUGGUAGUGGGGGGCUGUGUUUAAACUUUCACCUG